GACGAACGCUGGCGGCGUGCCUAAUACAUGCAAGUAGAACGCUGAAGGAGGAGCUUGCUUCUCCGGAUGAGUUGCGAACGGGUGAGUAACGCGUAGGUAACCUGCCUGGUAGCGGGGGAUAACUAUUGGAAACGAUAGCUAAUACCGCAUAACAGUAGAUAUUGCAUGAUAUCUGCUUGAAAGGUGCAAUUGCAUCACUACCAGAUGGACCUGCGUUGUAUUAGCUAGUUGGUGAGGUAACGGCUCACCAAGGCGACGAUACAUAGCCGACCUGAGAGGGUGAUCGGCCACACUGGGACUGAGACACGGCCCAGACUCCUACGGGAGGCAGCAGUAAGGAAUCUUCGGCAAUGGACGGAAGUCUGACCGAGCAACGCCGCGUGAGUGAAGAAGGUUUUCGGAUCGUAAAGCUCUGUUGUAAGAGAAGAACGAGUGUGAGAGUGGAAAGUUCACACUGUGACGGUAUCUUACCAGAAAGGGACGGCUAACUACGUG
rnacentral:rRNA from 1 species